rnacentral:rRNA from 1 species
AUGCAGUCGAACGAGAAAGUGGAGCAAUCCAUGAGUACAGUGGCGUACGGGUGAGUAACACGUGGGUAAUCUACCUUUUAGUGUGGAAUAACUCUGGGAAACCGGAGCUAAUACCGCAUAAGCUCGAGAGAGGAAAGCAGCAAUGCGCUGAAAGAGGAGCCCGCGGCCGAUUAGCUAGUUGGCAGGGUAAGAGCCUACCAAGGCAGAGAUCGGUAGCCGGCCUGAGAGGGCACACGGCCACACUGGCACUGAAACACGGGCCAGACUCCUACGGGAGGCAGCAGUGGGGAAUCUUGCACAAUGGGGGAAACCCUGAUGCAGCGACGCCGCGUGAGCGAUGAAGCCCUUCGGGGUGUAAAGCUCUUUCGGCAGGGAAGAUAGUGACGGUACCUGCAGAAGCAGCUGCGGCUAACUACGUGCCAGCAGCCGCGGUAAUACGUAGGCAGCGAGCGUUGUUCGGAGUUACUGGGCGUAAAGGGUGUGUAGGCGGUUGUUUAAGUUUGGUGUGAAAUCUCCCGGCUCAACUGGGAGGGUGCGCCGAAUACUGAAUGACUAGAGUACGGGAGAGGAAAGUGGAAUUCCUGGUGUAGCGGUGAAAUGCGUAGAUAUCAGGAGGAACACCGGUGGUGUAGACGGCUUUCUGGACCGUAACUGACGCUGAGACACGAAAGCGUGGGUAGCAAACAGGAUUAGAUACCCUGGUAGUCCACGCCCUAAACGAUGCAUAUUUGGUGUAGGCAGUUCAUUCUGUCCGUGCCGGAGCUAACGCGUUAAAUAUGCCGCCUGGGGAGUACAGUCGCAAGGCUGAAACUCAAAGGAAUUGACGGGGGCCCGCACAAGCGGUGGAGCAUGUGGUUCAAUUCGACGCAACGCGAAGAACCUUACCUGGGCUCGAACGGCUUCCCAACGGCGUUAGAAAUAGCGCUACCCCGCAAGGGGGGUGGAGUCGAGGUGCUGCAUGGCUGUCGUCAGCUCGUGUCGUGAGAUGUUGGGUUAAGUCCCGCAACGAGCGC